UGAACGGAGAAGUCGACUUGGAGGUUGUGCCCUUGAGGCGUGGCUUCCGGAGCUAACGCGUUAAGUCGACCGCCUGGGGAGUACGGCCGCAAGGUUAAAACUCAAAUGAAUUGACGGGGGCCCGCACAAGCGGUGGAGCAUGUGGUUUAAUUCGAUGCAACGCGAAGAACCUUACCUGGUCUUGACAUCCACGGAAGUUUUCAGAGAUGAGAAUGUGCCUUCGGGAACCGUGAGACAGGUGCUGCAUGGCUGUCGUCAGCUCGUGUUGUGAAAUGUUGGGUUAAGUCCCGCAACGAGCGCAACCCUUAUCCUUUGUUGCCAGCGGUCCGGCCGGGAACUCAAAGGAGACUGCCAGUGAUAAACUGGAGGAAGGUGGGGAUGACGUCAAGUCAUCAUGGCCCUUACGACCAGGGCUACACACGUGCUACAAUGGCGCAUACAAAGAGAAGCGACCUCGCGAGAGCAAGCGGACCUCAUAAAGUGCGUCGUAGUCCGGAUUGGAGUCUGCAACUCGACUCCAUGAAGUCGGAAUCGCUAGUAAUCGUGGAUCAGAAUGCCACGGUGAAUACGUUCCCGGGCCUUGUACACACCGCCCGUCACACCAUGGGAGUGGGUUGCAAAAGAAGUAGGUAGCUUAACCUUCGGGAGGGCGCUUACCACUUUGUGAUUCAUGACUGGGGUGAAGUCGUAACAGGGAAAC
rnacentral:rRNA from 1 species